AGAGUUUGAUCCUGGCUCAGGAUUAACGCUGGCGGCAUGCCUAAUACAUGCAAGUCGAAUGGAAGAGCUUGCUUUUCCAUGGCGAACGGGUGAGUAACACGUAGGUAACCUACCUUAAGGACGAGGAUAACCUUUGGAAACGAAGGAUAAUACUGGAUAGGACAUCAUAAAACACAUGUUUAGAUGUUUAAAGGAGCAAUCCACCAUAAGAGGGGCCUGCGGCGCAUUAGCUAGUUGGUAAGGUAAAGGCCUACCAAGGCGAUGAUGCGUAGCCGGACUGAGAGGUUGAACGGCCACAAUGGGACUGAGAACGGCCCAUACUCCUACGGGAGGCAGCAGUAGGGAAUUUUCGGCAAUGGACAAAAGUCUGACCGAGCAAUGCCCGCGUGAUCGAAGAAGUAUUUCGGUAUGUAAAGAUCUUUUAUCAGGGAAGAAAAGACAGAUUGACUGAACCUGAUGAAUAAGCUCCGGCUAACUACGUGCCAGCCGCCGC
rnacentral:rRNA from 1 species